AUACUUACCUGGCAGGGGAGAUACCAUGAUCACGAAGGUGGUUUUCCCAGGGCGAGGCUUAUCCAUUGCACUCCGGAUGUGCUGACCCCUGCGAUUUCCCCAAAUGUGGGAAACUCGACUGCAUAAUUUGUGGUAGUGGGGGACUGCUUUCGCGCUUUCCCCUG
ensembl:snRNA U1 U1 spliceosomal RNA